rnacentral:tRNA from 1 species
GUCCAAGUAAUUUAACCAAAAUAUUGGCCUUGUAAGCCAACAAUGAAGGAAAACUCCUUCCUAGGACA